AUGAACCAAUGGCUGAACCGGAUGCUGUCACACCGGGCGGUUAUCGGGAUCAAGUGGGACAAAGUUUGGAAAGCACUGGCCACAUGCCUCGCCCUUGAAUGCACUCAGGACCUGAAGGUCAUUGUUGACAUCAGGGGCCACCUCCCCGGGGGCAGUGUCCCCAGCUCCACCGGACAAGGUCCCCGGCUUACCCACCUCCUCUGUUCUGAUCUCUGGCUGCCUGAGCUCCGGGCUCGGGGGAUGGAAAGGUCUCCCCUUCUCAGGAACCGGAGUGUGGCCAUCACCCACCAGCUUGAUUGCAUGGCCCAUUUAAAGGGUCACAGCUCGCAGCUUGGAAAUCGGCAGGCCUGACGCCUUCCCUCUACGGAUGCGGAAACUGAGGGAAAACCCGAGGGGGCCCCCGACCAUCUUGCAGAGCUCACACAGCAAGAUAGCGGCAAAGCCAAGGAGAAGGAACUUCGAUUUCCCUUCCAGCGUGGACAUCCGAGUCUGGCGGGUACUGAGGGUGAAUCCUUCUCUCGAGCCCCGCCCUCUGAGGUCCCCCUCUGCCGCCUGGCUGUCUUCGCAAUGGUCGCCGCUCGAUGAGAAAUCGUGUUUAUGUCUCUGUUUUCUUUCCCGUCCCCGCUGUACCAAAAAUGUAAUCUUCACGAACACAAGGGCUUACCUGUAUUGUCUGCGCUGUGUCCCCAGCAGCCAGAGGGUGUGUGGCACACAGUAGGUGCUCAAUAAAUCUCUGCUGAAUGAAUACGAGAAUAAACGG
rnacentral:lncRNA from 1 species